GAGGGUUAAAGGUAUCCCCUAGUCGGGAGCUCCCGACUAGAAUCUCUUACUUGUUCAAUUUGAGUUUCAGGAAAAAGUCGAAAAAUGUAGAGUAUGUUACCUAAGCCUAAACACUUCGCUGAGUUAAAUUCCGCGUUUUCCUGUGUCCGACUUACUUAACUUACCACUUAAGUUUCUUGGAGCACGACUGAUUUUGCCACAAAAUUUAUGGUGCGUGAGAUAGAAGGAGGUGAUCUUUCAUCCAAAGUGUCAUGUAAGACAUGUUUGAUAAGCAAAACACACGUGUUGUACGUGCAUUUUCUAAUUCAUCGGGAAAUAGAGCCAGUAAACUUUUCGCGCUAGUUCAUUCGGAUGUGCGUAGACUUUUUGAGACCAGAUCAAUAGCGCAUUUGAUGGAGAGUGGUAGACGAGUAACGUGUAUUCGUAGCGACAAUGAGCGUGAAUACGUGAACAACACGUUUGAGGAGUAUCUCAAUAAUAAAGAUAUAGCACGACAACUGACAAUACCGUAUUCGCCGCAGCAGAAAGAAGUGGUUGAAAGGGCGAACCGAACAUUGGUUGUAAUGUCAGGAUGCCUGCUUGUACAUUCUGCUUUGAAGGAGUCUUUUAUAGGCGAAGGCACUAUUCAGAGCGGUUAGAAAUAUGACGCCAAUAGAAGUAUGGAAUGUUAAAGAACCCUCCAUUUGUCACUUUAAUGUUGGGAUAAUAACAAAACUAUCGGAUAUGCGAGCAAUUAAAAAGUAUAUCGUUUGUAUAAUUCAAACUCUGGACAAGUGAUCGAGCAGAGGGAUGCUCUGUUCGAUAAGCAAUACAGCAGUGAACUGUACGAUACUGGAGCCAUUACAUUUGAUCUUACAACGACGAAUAUCAACGUCGGAAUAAAAAAUGACAGCAGCAGCGACAAUUUAAUGAGUGCACUCAAGGUACCAGGUUUGGGACCAGGUAGACAAAAAUUAGUUCGCUAUGGAAAGCGAGGACGAACCAAGAAGCAGUACAGUAUUCUUGGCGCUUUGGUAAGUACCACGAAUACCUACAUGCUACGAGUCUAUUAGGUGUUCCAAAGGUUCACUUGACAAUGAACAUAGAAUACGACCCUCUGAUGUUGAAUACAACUAUGCGCAUUAUCAAUAAAGAUCAGCACUUUGUUAAAGUAUCAGGUGUUGAUCAAAAUUGAUCCUUGAUUGCACCAGCAUAAGAAAGAUAGUCGCAAUGAAUAAUAAAUGAAUACGUGAUUUGUUUUGUCGACAAAGCAAUGAAAACUGCACGCCUUUGGAUGCUGGAUACCAAAAUGUUUUCAUAAAUAAGGAGUGUAGCAAAGUGAAUGCGUCGCAAUACCAAUCAUUUAUGGAGAAACUAAUGUGGCUGACGACGAUUAGGCCGGACAUUUUGCACUCAGUAACAAAAUUAACGCAGUGCAAUAGGGAACCACAUAGCUAACACCUUGCAGGCGUUAAACAUGCUCUAAGGUAUCUGGCAUCAAUAACACUUGAAGCUGCACUACAAAGAAAAAAUAAAUCUUGUAUAUUGCAUGGCUUUCGAGUAGUAGCGUAGCGCGACAUACAUUUGUAUAAUUAGUCGCCCAUACAUUUGAAAGUGACGCAAAAUCUCUUGGCUGACUUCUCAUCUGGCUUUCCCCACUUAACCAGACAUGCCAGCCGACUGACUUGUCCGCUCUCCAAAAGCCAGACGAACGACUUAUACAAAAUGCAUUCAUAUGUAAAUACAAUUUGGGGAAGGUCAUGGUCAGCGCUAAAAAACUAAUAAAAUGUAUUAUUUUGUCGGUAACAGUCCAAGCAGUAGUGCAUAACAAUACACUCAAUUAUGCUGUUAUGUAUAAACACACAUACAAACAUAAUUGCCUGCAAGGGUCUUACAUUCUAUUUUUGGCUUUUUCGGUCUUUCAGUCGGGAAAGCGCAAUGAUACUGAAUUCGUAUUUGUUCCCAAUU